rnacentral:rRNA from 1 species
UUAAAUUGAAGAGUUUGAUCAUGGCUCAGAUUGAACGCUGGCGGCAGGCCUAACACAUGCAAGUCGAGCGGAAACGACACUAACAAUCCUUCGGGUGCGUUA